rnacentral:rRNA from 1 species
GACGAACGCUGGCGGCGUGCUUAACACAUGCAAGUCGAACGGUGAAGCUCCAGCUUGCUGGAGUGGAUCAGUGGCGAACGGGUGAGUAACACGUGAGCAACCUGCCCCUGACUCUGGGAUAAGCGCUGGAAACGGCGUCUAAUACUGGAUACGAGAAGGGUCCGCAUGGGCACUUUCUGGAAAGUUUUUCGGUUGGGGAUGGGCUCGCGGCCUAUCAGCUUGUUGGUGAGGUAAUGGCUCACCAAGGCGACGACGGGUAGCCGGCCUGAGAGGGCGACCGGCCACACUGGGACUGAGACACGGCCCAGACUCCUACGGGAGGCAGCAGUGGGGAAUAUUGCACAAUGGGCGAAAGCCUGAUGCAGCGACGCCGCGUGAGGGAUGACGGCCUUCGGGUUGUAAACCUCUUUCAGCAGGGAAGAAGCGAAAGUGACGGUACCUGCAGAAGAAGCACCGGCUAACUACGUG